GCGGGAGUGGUCUAGCGGUAAGAUGCUGCCCUCCCAGACAUACGGACGGAGGCAGAGAUCGCGGGUUCAAUCCCCGCCUCUCGCA
rfam:Coniosporium apollinis CBS 100218 chromosome Tnknown supercont1.20, whole genome shotgun sequence.